AGAUUGAACGCUGGCGGCAUGCCUUACACAUGCAAGUCGAACGGUAGAGUAGCAAUACUUGAGAGUGGCGAACGGGUGAGUAAUAUAUCGGAACGUGCCCAGUCGUGGGGGAUAACGUAGAGAAAUUUACGCUAAUACCGCAUACGAUCUAAGGAUGAAAGCGGGGGACUCGCAAGAGCCUCGCGCGAUUGGAGCGGCUGAUAUCAGAUUAGGUUGUUGGUGAGGUAAAAGCUCA
rnacentral:rRNA from 1 species